AGUGUAACAAGGAGCGUGUAACGAAGCAAACAAAAAGAAAAAACAACAAGAAAGCUCUCCCAGAUAAUGGAGUAGGAGUGGUUUUAAGGAAAUUAGGACACCGGGCCCAGGUGUCACCAAUUCCACAAAGGGGCUGCGGCCACACCUACAAGGACAACACACAAAAAACAAAACAAGACAACCGCAGGCAAAGCCAGCAGACCAUCACACAUGGCACACGCAUACGUCUGUGCUGCUGAAGCUUUGCGCCAGCAUUGCCAGUUUGGGCAGCGAAUCUCAUACCUGUGUUCAUGUCAGCGUUGUUCACGGUUUGAAUACGUGGUCAUGCGGAUAUUUAGAAUGUGAAUAGCGAUCUUCAGAUGAGAGGGGUACUACAGGCCCUUGAUGUAGGUAAAACAAAGGUGCAGUGGCGGCGCCAGAGGGGUGUCCGGGGUGGCACUGGACACCCCUGACAUCCGAUUGGCCACCCCGGGUGCCACCCCAAAAUUGUAUUUGCUGCUGGCAGUUCCUGAUGCUGAUUGACAUCUCAUUUGUCUAAAGAAGUUUUUGAAUUUAACAGGUGUUACGCUGCUCAAGCUAUUUUCAAAUCAAAGACGAGCCGAAGACAAGAGCAUGGUUUCAAGGUUUUAAAGGCACCUCUGAUUUCAACGUGGUGGGAAAUCAGUGGACAGAGAUGUCGGUGGCGAAGGUGAUGUUUCCUUCGCAGAAGCCUGCGGCUCCCGUCAGGCAGACACUGUUCGAUGUGGCAGCGAUGUGUCAAUGUGUCGCAGGAAGGUGCAUUUGGUGAAAGCAAAGCUGCUGGCAGUGUCAUUGGAGAAAGUUGUGACUGUUCGAGGCACGGGGAAAGCGGUCAAGAAGUACACAGUCUCUGAUCAUCUGAUGGCACUGCCCAGAUGAGUCUUUGUGUUUGGGAGAAGCAGAUCGAUGCCGUGGAGCCGCAGUCAUGCUACGCCUUCACGGAUGUUUCCACCACAGACACAGCGAUUCAGAAGAUUUGUGAUAUGGAUGUCGGGGAGGUGGAAGGUGUAGCAGAAGAGGACUCUGUUAUGACGGUUAAGUCUUCCGUUACUGGAGCUGAGAUUAAAGCCGGCGUAAAGUGUGCCCUGUGUGGUAGCCUGCAGGACAGUUGGGCCACCCAGAGCCGGUUUUUUACGGUGCCAGAGUUGCAGGAUGCUGCAGAAGUCGGGGGCAUUUAGAGUAUUACGUGGGACGUUAAAGGUCAAAAAUGAGAAAAGGGCAGACUAUACAUUGACUGUUGGACACUGUAGUUUGGUGAAGUAUUUAAAACUCCGAAAAAUGACAACAUUAAUACACAAAGAAGAAGCUAUUGAGGAACAUCAUCUUUGCGAGGAUUGUCUUCAGUUUUCAUUUGAUAACGAGUGCAACGUCUGGUCUGACAUUCCCGAUACCACAGUCACUAGCUGCAGCGACGAGGCAUGUAGCAAGUCGUCAGAGUAGUUUCCUUUGAAGUUUUUGUUGUAUUAGCAUGUUGUUUUGUUUUUACUUAAUAUAUGUGUUGUAUUGCUGUGAGUGUGACGUUUUUGCGAUAAAGUUUGAUAUUUGUAACAUUUUGUACAUAGCCGUAGUUUACUUUGCAUUAGUUUUUAUUUCAUUGUCAGUUUUCAUUAUAUGAGAAGCUAAUUCAGAUGUUUGUGUGUUUUAUGUGUAAUAAAAUAAAACGACGUCA